UAAGUUGGGCCUGUUUGAUAAGUUAUAUAACUGCAGCACCUAUUAUUGCUACUGAUAUCAUUGGCUCAUUGCUGCCUUUGUGCAAUGCAGAACUGUUAAGAGUGAUUUGGAGGAUUCAAGAUUCUGUGAAGCUCUUUUGACAUUUAAAGCUCAGAACUGAAGGUUCAAUAUGACGCAAAAUAGGGCUAAGUGGACAGCAAGGUAUGAGAAAGGUCUCGUGGAGGUACUUACAGAGUACAAUCUAUCUCAUUACCGUGGCCAAAAUGGGUGGACUACCGAAGGAUGGAAUCAAGUUGUCAAGGAACUGAACAAUUUAUAUCCAGAGGCAAGGUUUACCAAGGAUCAGGUUCAAGAUAAGGAAGCUCAGUUGAAAAAGCACUACAAAAAUAUCAAGUUGAUAGUCAACCGCUCUGGAAUAUCAUGGAAUGAUAUUGCAUGUGUGAUCAACACCACGCCUGAAAAAUGGGAAGAGAUCAUUGCAGAGGACCCAAAGCUCAAAAUGUAUGAAGGAAAGAGCUUUC